GGCCCUAUAGCUCAAUGGAUAGAGCGCCGGCCUUCUAAGCCGGCAAUGAUGGUUCGAUUCCGUCUAGGGUCA
rnacentral:tRNA from 1 species